CCCGCCCCACCCUGUUCUCCCUGAAAGGAAACCAGCGUUCACUGGGAGCUGACUGGGUGUCUGGUCUCACCUAUGUGCUCUCUUCCAUGCUCCCCAGGACCCUGGAGGCAAGAAGCAUCACCACUGUGCAGAGCCCUCAGCCACCCAGUAAGAAGUGAGAAAAACCACUAGCCUGAGGCUGCCAUGGUGAGAGGAAGCCCAAGCCACAUGCGGAGGCCAUGUCUAGGUGCUCUGGUCAACAGCCCCAGCUGAGCCCAGCCAUCCAGCCUCCUCAACUGUUUGAGGUUUCCCAGCUGAGGCCUGAGACGCCGCCGUGGAGCAGGGACAGCCUAUUCCCGCUGUGCUCGCUCUGAACCUCUGACCCACAGAAUCUGGGAGUAAAGUUUUGUGGUGAUUUGUUGGGUAGCAAUAGAUAAUGAGGACAGCUAUGUCAGCUGGGGCCCACCAUGGUCAUCUGGGCCCACCCAGACCAUCCUUCCCUCCCGGCCCCUCAGAGGCUGGCUGGGGCAGGGCAAAACACUGCUCCACGCAGAGAGCACUGAGACUUGGGGGGUCUGUACUCCGGGUUCUAUCGCUCAGUUCCCUUCUCAGAGCUGAGCCACCCAAAUCGGGCCCUCUUGUGUAUGAUCAAGAGACCUGAUCCCUGCACCAUCCCUAGUAAGCUGUGAGAUGCUGGGCAAGUUACGAUAGUCCUGCCUCAUUUACAGUUCUGCUUUCCGCCAUUUCUGUUGCUUAUGGUCAAUGAUGAUCCAAAAUAUUAAAUGAGAGAUUCCAGAAAUAAA